AACGAACGCUGGCGGCAUGCCUAACACAUGCAAGUCGAACGAAGUCUUCGGACUUAGUGGCGCACGGGUGCGUAACGCGUUGGAAUCUGCCCUUGUGUACGGCAUAUCUCAGAGAAAUUUGUGCUAAUACCGUAUAAUGUUUUCGGACCAAAGAUUUAUCGCCCAAGGAUGAGCCCGCGUAAGAUUAGCUAGUUGGUAGGGUAAAAGCCUACCAAGGCGACGAUCUUUAGCUGGUCUGAGAGGAUGAUCAGCCACACUGGGACUGAGACACGGCCCAGACUCCUACGGGAGGCGGCAGUGGGGAAUAUUGGACAGUGGGCGAAAGACUGAGCCAGGAAUGCCGCGUGAGUGAUGAAGGCGCUAGGGAUGUAAAGCUCUUUUACCAGGGAUGAUAAUGACAGUACCUUGAGGAUAAGCUGCGGCUAACUCCGUG
rnacentral:rRNA from 1 species